ACGAACGCUGGCGGCGUGCCUAAUACAUGCAAGUUGAGCGCUGAAGGUUGGUACUUGUACCGACUGGAUGAGCAGCGAACGGGUGAGUAACGCGUGGGGAAUCUGCCUUUGAGCGGGGGACAACAUUUGGAAACGAAUGCUAAUACCGCAUAAAAACUUUAAACACAAGUUUUAAGUUUGAAAGAUGCAAUUGCAUCACUCAAAGAUGAUCCCGCGUUGUAUUAGCUAGUUGGUGAGGUAAAGGCUCACCAAGGCGAUGAUACAUAGCCGACCUGAGAGGGUGAUCGGCCACAUUGGGACUGAGACACGGCCCAAACUCCUACGGGAGGCAGCAGUAGGGAAUCUUCGGCAAUGGACGAAAGUCUGACCGAGCAACGCCGCGUGAGUGAAGAAGGUUUUCGGAUCGUAAAACUCUGUUGGUGGAGAAGAACGUUGGUGAGAGUGGAAAGCUCAUCAAGUGACGGUAACUACCCAGAAAGGGACGGCUAACUACGUG
rnacentral:rRNA from 1 species